rnacentral:rRNA from 1 species
AGAGUUAGUCAGAAUGUCCCAAAGGCACCAGAUCCCUUCUGAUCUUGAAGGCUAAGGAUGGUCAGCUCUGGUUAGUACUUGGAUAGGAGACUUCCAAAGAAUGCCAGGAGCUGUAGGCU